GAUGAACGCUAGCGGCAGGCUUAAUACAUGCAAGGCGAGGGGGGCAGCAAUGUCACCGUCGUACGGGUGCGUAACGCGUAUGCAACCUACCUUCAACUGGGGGAUAGCCCGGGGGAAAACCCGGAUUAAUACCGCAUAACACAAUGAGUUCUCCUGGGUUUAUUGUUAAAGAUUUUAUUGGUUGAAGAUGGGCAUGCGUU
rnacentral:rRNA from 1 species